UGAACUUCAGGAAUACAGUUGUACAAACUAAUUUUUUAAAGUUUGAUUCAGAGUACUGAUUACAUAAUGAAAAUUGUAGCAAGUAAUGCAGUUUAGAUUACUCAGGUACUCUUAUUAGGUAUUCAGACUACUUUUGGAUUACUUUUAGAUUACUUAUAAACUAAAGUUUUACAUUUGAAAUGUUUUAAUUGUUUACCCAGCACCAAGGAUACAACAGAUGGAUUCAUUGCACAUUGAUUGAUUUUUCAAUUAAGCAAUUUUUUGGAGAGAAAAUGCCGAUUUACAAUUUUAAAUGCAAGUAUUGGAUUUCCAAUGUGAAAUGUGUCAGAACAGUGCACUGCAGCCACAGACCCCUGUCCAUCGCCAAAAGUCUCUUCAAUAGGCAUGUGAGCAUCAGGACUGGACCCUGGAUCAAUGGAAGAAGGUUGUCUGGUCUCAUAACUCAUCUUUUCUUUUACUUCAGGUGGAUAGCCGAGUGUGUGUGCAUUAUUUAGUUGAGGCAGAAAUGGCAGCAGAUGCACUAUGGGAAGAAGGCAAGCCGUCAGAGGCCGUAUUAUGAUCUGGCCGAUGUUCUGCUGGGAAACCUUGGCAUUCAGGUGAAUGUUACUUUGACAUGUACCACCUCCUUAAAGAUUGUUGCAGACCACGUACCCUUCAUGGCAAUGGCGUUCCCUGAUGACAGUGGCCUCUUUCAGCGGGAUAAUACACCUGCCACACUGCAAAUAUAGUUAAGGAAUGGUUUGAGGAGCAUAGCAGAACAAGGUGUUGCCUCCAAUUCGACUGAGCAUCUGUGGGAUGUUCUGGACCAUCAAAUCCAAUGUACAAUGUCUUGGUGUCAGAUACCACAAAAAAGCGAUCUGCCUUCUCUUCCCUGUGGCUCCAGUUACUCUCCUGUGUUGCUUCGAUCAAGUACCUCUACUACUCAUCAUCGCCGAGGUGUGUGCUCACCAUCCUCCACUCUGGUCACCCCAACCGGCUACUCUGGUCAUCCCAUUCGGCAAGUGCUUUACCCGAUUUCAAGGAUUCUCAUUCCCAUUCCAUUUACUACUCAUUCUGCCGGUCUCAAUAAAAUGGCAGUUUCCACUAAUCCUCUAUCGCCAGUCCGUCUGUUACAGUUAG
ensembl:lncRNA